rnacentral:rRNA from 1 species
AUUGAACGCUGGCGGCAGGCUUAACGCAUGCAAGUCGAGCGGGGGAAGGUAGCUUGCUACCGGACCUAGCGGCGGACGGGUGAGUAAUGCUUAGGAAUCUGCCUAUUAGUGGGGGACAACAUCUCGAAAGGGAUGCUAAUACCGCAUACGUCCUACGGGAGAAAGCAGGGGAUCUUCGGACCUUGCGCUAAUAGAUGAGCCUAAGUCGGAUUAGCUAGUUGGUGGGGUAAAGGCCUACCAAGGCGACGAUCUGUAGCGGGUCUGAGAGGAUGAUCCGCCACACUGGGACUGAGACACGGCCCAGACUCCUACGGGAGGCAGCAGUGGGCAAUAUUGGACAAUGGGGGGAACCCUGAUCCAGCCAUGCCGCGUGUGUGAAGAAGGCCUUAUGGUUGUAAAGCACUUUAAGCGAGGAGGAGGCUACUCUAGUUAAUACCUAGAGAUAGUGGACGUUACUCGCAGAAUAAGCACCGGCUAACUCUGUGCCAGCCGCCGCGGUAA